GGACCCGCACAAGCAGUGGAGCAUGUGGUUUAAUUCGAUGCAACGCGAAGAACCUUACCCAGGCUUGACAUGCAGUAGACAGUUUCAGAAAUGAGAUCUUCCUUCGGGACUGCUGCACAGGUGCUGCA
rnacentral:rRNA from 1 species